rnacentral:lncRNA from 1 species
AAUUCUGUCUGGACACAAAGGAAAAAUCGGAAUUGGCAGAUACUCUCUCGGUUACUCCCUGGUUGCAGUUAAUGAGCAGCCUGUUCGCCUGCAGCCUUUAGACAGGGAACAAGGGGCACAGCUUUUCCCACUUUAUUGGUUACUGACUGGGAAAGAAGGAUUCCACUAGCACUGCUUGGCUAUCAAAGCUGGGCAAUGUGAUCCUCUAAGCCACAUGUUUAGGAAUUGACAAACAAUUGUGGAGGUUGGCAAUUCCAAAAUCUGAGGAGUAGGUAAACUGGAAGACUAGAGACCCUGGGAAGAGUUGAUGUUACAGCUUGAAUCUGAAGGCAGUCUGCUGGAAGAAUCCCCUCUUUCUUGUAGAAGCCCCUUGACUGGGCAAACUUCAAACAAGUGACUGAGCUCCCUUAGCUGCCACUGAUUGGACCAGGAUGGACAACAAAUGUAGGAGGAGUUCAUCUGGAUCUAGCCUGAGCCAGUCAGAUAUCCCCUUUGAAUCCAUGCCUAUAGAAAUACAAAAAAAUGGAAGCCAGAGGAUGAUGGAUCCUUGAAGUAAUAAGUCAGCUCUGUGGAAGUUUGAGUGACUCAUUGCAGAGAGGAAUUGAUGAAGUCAACAGCUGCUGGAAAAACUUCUUUUUCCUUAAUAGCUGUAUCAACAUGUGGUUGCUAUUAUUCAAGUAAGAAAAAUAUGUAUAUCAAACAUCCAUGGUAGUCCUUGCUAAAAUUUUCAUUAGAGAGACUCAUGUUUUGACAUUAAAAAAAGUUCAAAUGGGUACCUUAGAGGAUGUUUUGUUGGAGAACAAAAUCAUGGAGAAAUAAAGUCUAAAAAGAAAAAUAAAUGGCAAGCAUGUUGUUAAUAAUGCUGUAAU